GAGACGAACAGAUCUUGAGAGAGGAAGAACGAAGAAGGCAGAGAUGGACGUGAGGGAAGAGGUUCGACCCCCGUUCGCCGGAUUUCGAAGGUGGAGGUGGCAGAUGCAAGUGAGGGAAGAGGUUCGACCCCCGUUCGCCGGAUUUCGAAGGUGGAGGUGGCAGAUUCAAGUGAGGGAGAAAUUAGGGCUUCUUCUUCGUUCCUUCAAUAGAUUCGAUGGAGAGAUGAACGUUUGAAGCCGAGAGGAGAUGGGCGAAGGGAGUGUCCGAGUCAGGCAGAGCAACGACCGGCGAUCAUUUGCCGUCCUUCCAUGGACAGCGGCGACAGCGGCGAUUUUAA
rnacentral:lncRNA from 1 species